AAAAAAGUUCUAGCACAUGAGCCAUCUACUUAAAAGUGAAGCAUUGGCUCUACGUCAUGUUUCAUGAUGGUGGACAGCUGGCAUCUGCACUGUGAGGGCUCCAUUAAUGUGGAACUUACUUCCUUUCUUCACUUAAACCUGAGACUCUUGUCAGACUGUAUCUUAGGCUUCUCUUGUGGUUUUCCUUUAAAUUACUUUGUUUUCUUAACAUUCCAAGUUUUGAUGAAAAUCUAAUUUAAAUUUCUUUGCUUGUUUGUGCUGUGAAUGAUUACUGAAGGGCGUACAGGUAUGUGGGACAGGGUUUCUAUAAUUUCCUAAAGGGAAGAUUUCUUGAUCAGCAGUGCCGCCUUUGAAAAUAAGCUUGAGAGUUGCUUCCCUAAUUCUUAGAUAAGGGCAUGAUAUCACAGAGAUACUUAACUAUUCUUAACAUCCACGUUUUGCUCAUCAGUGAAAGAGAACAUGGGAUACCACAUGUGAGUAGAGCAAGGCAAAAUUAAAUAGAAGAAAACAGUGGCUGGAUAGAGAAAGAAAAUAGAAGGGGAAUCAAGUGUUUUCAAUAAUAACUCAUUGUAAUCCACAUUCAUCCCUGAGGCAAGUUUCACAUAGUCUAAGAAAAAAUUAACCUGGUGGGUAAAUAAACAUACAUACUACAAGCACUGACUUCCACAGAUUUUUGUCAUCAAGGACAAUGAGAGAAGUUGGCCAUAUCCGCACAUCAGACUUCCAAAUCCAGAAACAUCAAAUGUCGAUCACAAAAAGAAGCAUGCUGUUUGAUCCUUCGUUACUGGUAUUCCUUUGCCAAUUCUACCACUUUCCUUAAUAGCUGAAUAGGUAGGUGGUGGCUGCCUUAGGUGUUUUUUCAAAUGCAGUUUCUAACAGUAAACUGCAUAAUAUGAAGUUCCCCAGUGGGUCUGUCUCACUAGUGAACUUGAUUGGCUCAGUUUGUUCAAACACCCAACUGAGGAAUCCAAAGACUUGUGUUUAAGUCCCCAGUGGGAAAAUGUGUUAAGAUGAUAGAGGUCUUUCCUCACGGAACAUAGUGGUCAGUAUGUCUUGAAAGAAAUAGAUUAUCAUUCCUCUGCUUUAAGGAAAAAACACUCUAAGAAUUCUGUUUUAUUGACACAGGAAUGAAGCAAGACUAUACAUGAAGUUCAGCUAAACUAAUACUUUAAAAGAUGGAAUUUUACAUUGAUUAGUUCUUCUCUACUAAUCAUUUCAAGGAGCUUCCCUGGUGGCUCAGAUGGUAAAGAAUCUGCCCGCCAUGCAGCUGACCCAGGCUUGACCCUUAGGUUGGGAAGGUCCCCUGGAGAAGGAAAUGGCUACCCACUCCAGUAUUCUGGCCUGGAGAAUUCCAUGGGCAGAGGGCUAUAGUCCAUGGCAUCACAAAGAAUUGGAUGAUUGAGCGACUAACACUUUCACUUUUCAAUCAUGUCAGUGUUCUUGGACAUUUCAUCACAUUUAAUAAUUUCCCAUUAAGAAUGUAGUCUUGGGCAAGCCUCAGUGUCUCAUAUCACUAAAGAAAAAUACAUUUGUUCACACCAGCCACAUUCAGGAUUCACAUACAUUUGCAUGAGGAACAUAUAGAAAAUCAAUCCAUGAAGGGGUAAUGUUCUGUACAAUACUUUUUUCAUUAAUUCUCUUGUAUGAUCAUUCUUGACGCCCCCACUUUAGCUGCU
rnacentral:lncRNA from 1 species